rnacentral:lncRNA from 1 species
CCCAAAAAAAAAUUAAAAUACUGUAAUUCUUCCAUCCCUUCCUCCCCAAAAUGCCGAACUCAGCAAUUAUAUCAAAAAGUCUGCACGUUUAACAAGAAUAUCAUCCUAAUAAUUCCAAAAUCACAUCAAAACACGGGCACAAACCAAGAAUUUUAACCAAGAGAAAAUGAAACAUGAGUCUAAUAUAGAGAAUUAUUCCUCAACAAAUAUUGUUAAAAAGAUUACCAUCCCAACCCACCUGGUUUGAUUGUAAGUGGUGAGAGGGUUGAUAUCUUAGGAGGGUGGCGGUGAUAAAUAUGGGAUUGAAUGGAGGAGAUGAUACAUACACCGAGUAAUAAAUAUAUAAAGCUGAAAGAAAAGAAAAAACAAGAUCCUCCUCGAUCGAACACCCCCUCCUCGAUCGUACAGAAAAAACAGAUGGUCUCGUUGAGCUGCAGUAACUUCAAAACGGUUGUCGAUACCGUCAUCUCCGAUUCCACCCUCCCUUCUCCCACCGCCAUCCUCGGGAUCACGGUUGUCAAACAUCAACGCCGCCGCCCACUCCCCAUCCUCUCCUCCCUUCUUCAAGUUUCAGAUCUGAUUUGAGAGAUAUGAUGAGUAAUUAACUUGGUCAGUGUUUUUGAUUUGUGACUAAUAACCCUUAAAACCAAACUCUGAUCUCCUUUUUUUUUUUAUUGCCUUCUAGAUUUUGAUUUAAUUAUUU